UUGUGAAAGAAUUUACAGUAACAUUAAGAUUUGUAGAUUUCUCAGAAAUUCGGGGAAGUCGUGGGAGAAAAACUGGGUAGGAGGAAGUUAUGAGAAACUUUAGCAAAUUAACAGUCUCCUUUUCCUUUCUUUCUUUUUUUUCUCCUUUCAACUGCUUUCUAAUCCUACCCCACCCACCUCUGUUCCCUUAUUCUUAGGGGCUAAUGAAGGGCAAGGGGGUCUGUUCUCCAGAACUGCUUCAAGCUGGCAAGGGACAAUGGCCCUACGUAGCCAGGGAUGGAAAAUCUCAUCCUGCCUGAUCUAAAGGAGACCCAGAAAGUGAUUUGUGCUUCAUGGAUGGGUUGGAAUCCAGGCACUGCCACCCUCUCAACGUGGAAUUGUCACAGUCUGGGAGAUGUGAUGCUCUUGGAAGAUAAAGAAGGACCCUUGGAUCCUCCAGUGGCUCAAAUGAAGAGGAGUCCUGUUCUCCUCUCUCCGGUGGCUUACGGUCCUGGUCCUGUAAGACUUCAAGACGGGCAGGUUUAAGUUUUCAUAAAUGGCUCCACAAUGUUUGGCCGUGGAUUCUGACAGCCACCAGGGUGCUUAAGGAGACCUGGAGGGGGCCUUUCCCUCUGGGGAGAAGCUAGUCAGUGGCUUAUGUUGAGGCCGUGUGAUACUGUAUAAGAAAGUCUGCCACAAGAAUGAGAAGUCAUACUCCAUUUAUGCAUGAUAUGUCGAAAUGCAUUCUACCUUCACGUGCGACUAAUUAGAACAAAUUUAAAAAGAAAAAAGAAAGAAAGAAAACUAGCCUCUUCUUGAGGCCAUCAGCCUCAAAAAGACAGUCCAGUUAUUUACAAUGUAACACAAAGGAGAAUCUGCUGGAAUGGAUGAGGUGUUGCUCAUUUUGAAAGUGAGAGGCCUCGGCUUGUGCAUGAGCAGGGACUUCAAUCUUUUCAUGUCUGAAGGAGAGAAAAGGGGAGUGAUUGCCCCACCUCUUACAGAGAUGCCAACCCUAGAGGCAAGCGUGCCUGCAGUGGAGCUCAUGAAACACUAAUCUGAAGGGGGCGUCACCCUCAUAAUGAGCAACGCCAGCUCAUUCCCUCUGCACACUCCCAGUGGCUGGAGCACCUUUGCCUCUGAUGAGCAGACACACUCUGCUUUCAGGUACCGCUGGAGUCCCAGGAUCCAAUGAACCAUAUUUUCAGUGUUUGGAAAAAAAGUAGAAAAAUGACGUCACAGAAAGGCCUAGACUGCAGUGUGAUAAUGCAAAUGAUUCUCAUUUCUGUACUCAUCCAGGGAAGCAUGAUUACUCACAUAGCAACAGGCAAACACCCUGAAGACUUUCCAAAUGUUGUGUCAAGGAUGUUACCUAUUUGGAUAACUCAAUGAUGGAUAUGCCCCUCUGGUUGGCCGGGGGAGACACUUCCUCAUCCACCGGUGGGUGAGGCCGUGUUGUCUAUCAGGACAGAAACUCACAGAGGGUUGAGAACCUCACUGAGGAUGGUAAAAAUGAUCUGUUCCCAGCUGGCCAAGUUUAAGAUGAGACAAAGAAUCGCCACAGGCGUCUCCCCUACAAGGGGAGACCCAGAGAGAAAGCUCACCCGUGUUUUGAAAAUAAGGACAGGAGUCCAGUUGUGACCGAGAAGAGAGGUGAGCAUGGGGAAUAGUGUUGGAAGAGAGGACUGACUGCCACCCCCUAGUCAUCCAGGGACCUGUUUGUUCUGGAUCAUUGUGAGAGCUGGUUUGGGGGUUCCUUCACAUCAUGGCUGAUUGCCUCCUCUCAUUCUCAGAUGUGGUCUGAGAACAUCACGGAGGAGAUGUGAGGUUGCAUGAGACAUUGGGUGAACUUGUCUCCCUGAAUGAGCUUGUGGAGUUCCACUGGAACUGGGAACAGGGUACGUUCAUUUGGGACUUUUCCUGUGAGGCCACUGCCCAUCCUGGGGUGCACCUUCACCUGGUUGAGUUGGAGGGAAUGAAUGCCUCUUAUUUUUGGUGUCUUUAUAAUCCGAUGCUUAUUGUUUCACUGAUCUGGAAAAGAGGAAAUCUGUAGGCACUUUAGGAGGAGAGAAGAAAGAGUGAGAGAGAGAGGGAGGGCCAGUGAGCUUGUGUUUGACUCCAAAUUGUGGUUCCCAGUCAAGCCCAUACUAUCACUCAAGUAGCUCAGAAAAGGGUAGAAAAAGAAGUUGCAGACUCUUGUGGAAGUGCAGGAAGGGGACAUCAGACCACUCCCCUGACAUGCUUUGCCAGGUCCAUGUCAGCAGAAGGGGGCUCCAGGAGGUCUCUCCAACCGGUACAGACCUCCACUCACAACUUCCUGGCUCUUGACAUGUCACGGAAAAGAGUUCAAGCACACAUCAGGUUUUGGCAAAGAAGAAGAGCCUUAUCAGAAAGCAAAGGUGAGGAUCCACAUUCCCGGGCCCCUUACACUGACACGGGCACCUGCUCUGCUGGUUCUGGGGUUAUGAUAAACUUACCGAUGUGUCCACGAAUGCUCUGAAGCUCCUCCUUUCUAAACACAGAGCUGAAUGACACACCUGCUGCACUGUGACUUGCUUCUGAUGAGUGGCAUAUGUCAUAAGGGACUGGACAUCAUUUUGGUGAUUGAGUUGUAUAAAGACAGUGCUUCUUGGGCUCUGUCUCUCUUCUGUACAUGCUCACACUUGCUCUCUCUUCCUUGAAAGUCACAUCAGAUCAGCUUCUGCAUAUACCCUCACGGAGGAACUGAGACCUCCUGCCAAAAACCCCAUGAGAGCCAGAGCGAGAGCACUUGGAUACGGAACAUUCUGCCCCAAUCAUAUCUUCAGAAACUGCAGCCUUGUCCCCCAACUCGACUACAAGCUCAGCCCCUCUGGGAUCCCUGGAAAAUGUUGAUCAUUUCAAGCUAUGGGUUUGGGGGGAUUUGUUCUGCAGGGGAAGGCGGCCAACACCAGCUCACAUCUCCUGUCCCACUGGCGCCUGGGAUCAGAGGCAGAGAGUAAGAAGAGAACCUGAAGAUGGUGUGAGAAAACAGGCUGGCCUCAGGACAGUGUGUGCCGCAGCUGACACGGGUUCCCUCCUUCACUCCACAGCGGCCCAGGGUCACUGAUGAAGGUCACUGCCGGUGCCCUGGUUUUUAUGCUGAGGGGCUCAUCGAAGCCUAACAAAUACCAGUGGAGGCCCCGUUUGAUUCCUCUCCUUUACACACCACACGGAGGAGACCUUGGCACAGAGAGGUAAAGUGAGUUCCCAAGGCCACGUCACCAUCAGCGCUGAGGGAGCUGGGAUUCUGAAGCAGGCCCCCUGCGGGGGGUCCACCCUCUCCCUCUCUGGCCAACAGCACUCCUCUCCCAGCUGACGGGUGCCCAGACUGGCCUUGGGGACACCGUGACCUCAAAAGAGAGGAGUCACCUGCUGCGGUCCUCCAGCGGUGGCAGCCUGAGGAAGAAUCCUGGGAUUUGGGUCAGAAAGCAAGGGCUUGGUCCGGGCAGCAUGGAUGAGGAAUCACGCCUCUCUCCUCUCAAGACACUGGGAGCCUCUGAGGGGCCGGAGGAGAGGUCCCGCCAGGGUUUCAGGUGGAGAUCCAGGUCCUACUUUUUACCUGGGUUUCCGCAGCUCCUUCCACGCCUCUCACCCUCUGGUAACCAGGGUUCUGACUGAGGCUCUUGAUGCAGGCAUGGCCCUGCGCCACCCAGAGCAUGCCUGAGCAGAAACCCCUCCGUUCCCAGGGUCCUCAUCCCAGAACAGUGCUGCUUCUUCCCUGGCAGCCAGCAACCCGGGCAGCACCCCCGUCCUCCAAUCUCCGGGUGAAGCGGGCAGACACCCUCCUCCGCUUACCCUCUGCUGCACACUUCCCAGCCACUGUCACUGUACCACUGCAAUGACCCUAGGCUGUCCCACACUUCCACGCCUGCCCCGCCAGCUGGUCUUCUUCACGGUCACCCGAAUAUCUUCAAGAAUAUGAGGCCUUUGCAUCAUUCGCUGGUUUCAAGCCUUCAGUGGGCCUCCCGAGACCCAGAGACCCAAGCCUCCAUGCUCCCCCUUCCACAAGCCCCCAGCCCCUCCUACUCCCACUGGAGGUGAUCUGGCCCCGCCCACUGCUGCCGCUGGUAGUCCCACAAUGCUCCCUAGACCUGAGCUCUCCCAGGGGAAGUAAGGAGAGGGCUCGAAUCCCAGGGGAAACUGCUGCAGAAAGGCAUCUUUGAUACCACAGGCCGGCCAGAGUCCCGGGGGGUGCCAACUUGCCCUGGUUGAGUUAGCAACUCUGCUGUAGCCCACAGAACCUCAGGGAAGGUUCUGUCUCAGGCUUCCACCUCCCAGUCCUGCGUGAGUAAGGCUUUGUUAUACUUCUGGCUGUAUGUCACAGAGCAGGAGGCCUCCCAGGGUCCGCUCCUGGUUUUCCAGGCCUGGUUCCCACACCCACUGGUGCGCAGUCUUUGCAUGUGGUCAGUGACUCCCCCCGACAUCUCUGCAGAGAACUGCUGUCUUCUGGCCAUAGAGGCAGCCACCUCCGGCUCAUUGCUGUACCCUCAAGACAGAGUUGCCGGAUUUGACAAACAAAAACACCACAAAAUUCGCAGGACAGACUUGCAGUAAAGUUUUUUUCCUUAUGUGAAGUU